rnacentral:rRNA from 1 species
AGAGUUUGAUCCUGGCUCAGAGCGAACGUUAGCGGCGCGCCUAACACAUGCAAGUCGCACGCGAAAGGGGCAACCCGAGUAAAGUGGCGCACGGGUGCGUAACACGUAGAUAACCUGCCCUUUGGAGGGGGAUAACGUUCCGAAAGGAGCGCUAAUACCGCAUACAGCAUUCUGGGGUUCGCUCCGGGAUGGCAAAGGUAGGGACCCGCAAGGGCCUAUCGCCGAAGGAGGGGUCUGCGGCCCAUCAGCUAGUUGGGGGGGUAAUGGCCCACCAAGGCAAAGACGGGUAGCUGGUCUGAGAGGAUGAUCAGCCACACUGGUACUGGAACACGGACCAGACUCCUACGGGAGGCAGCAGUGGGGAAUCUUGGUCAAUGGGCGAAAGCCUGAACCAGCGACGCCGCGUGAGUGAUGAAGGCCUUCGGGUUGUAAAGCUCUGUGGGGCGAGACGAAAGCCUACGUUCUAACAGGAUGUAGUUUGACGGUAUCGCCUUAGCAAGCACCGGCUAACUCUGUGCCAGCAGCCGCGGUAAGACAGAGGGUGCAAACGUUGCUCGGAAUCACUGGGCGUAAAGGGCGUGUAGGCGGGAGAGAAAGUCGGGCGUGAAAUCCCUGGGCUCAACCCAGGAACUGCACUCGAAACUUCUUUUCUUGAGUGCCGGAGAGGAAAGCGGAAUACCUGGUGUAGAGGUGAAAUUCGUAGAUAUCAGGUGGAACACCAGUGGCGAAGGCGGCUUUCUGGACGGUAACUGACGCUGAGACGCGAAAGCGUGGGGAGCAAACAGGAUUAGAUACCCUAGUAGUCC